GGCGAACGCUGGCGGCGUGCUUAACACAUGCAAGUCGAACGGAAAGGCCCUGCUUUUGUGGGGUGCUCGAGUGGCGAACGGGUGAGUAACACGUGAGUAACCUGCCCUUGACUUUGGGAUAACUUCAGGAAACUGGGGCUAAUACCUGAUAGGAGCUCCUGCUGCAUGGUGUGGGUUGGAAAGUUUCGGCGGUUGGGGAUGGACUCGCGGCUUAUCAGCUUGUUGGUGGGGUAGUGGCUUACCAAGGCUUUGACGGGUAGCCGGCCUGAGAGGGUGACCGGCCACAUUGGGACUGAGAUACGGCACAGACUCGUACGGGAGGCAGCAGUGGGGAAUAUUGCACAAGGGGCGGAAGCCUGAUGCAGCAAAGCCGCGUGCGGGAUGACGGGAUUCGGGUUGUAAACCGCUUUCGCCUGUGACGAAGCGUGAGUGACGGUAAUGGGUAAAGAAGCACCGGCUAACUACGUG
rnacentral:rRNA from 1 species